GCGGCGGCGCUGGACCCGACGCGGCGAGAGAGGCCCCGAGAUGCCGAGCAAGAAGAAGAAGUACAACGCGCGGUUCCCGCCGGCGCGGAUCAAGAAGAUCAUGCAGACGGACGAAGAGAUUGGGAAGGUGGCGGCGGCGGUGCCUGUCAUCAUCUCCCGGGCGCUCGAGCUCUUCCUAGAGUCGCUGUUGAAGAAGGCCUGCCAGGUGACCCAGUCGCGGAACGCGAAGACCAUGACCACAUCCCACCUUAAAGAAGCAGUGCAUCGAGCUGGAGCAGCAGUUUGACUUCUUGAAGGACCUGGUGGCAUCUGUUCCCGACAUGCAGGGGGACGGGGAAGACAACCACAUGGAUGGGGACAAGGGCGCCCGCAGGGGCCGGAAGCCAGGCAGCGGCGGCCGGAAGAACGGUGGGAUGGGAACGAAAAGCAAGGACAAGAAGCUGUCCGGGACAGACUCGGAGCAGGAGGAUGAAUCUGAGGACACAGAUACUGAUGGGGAAGAGGAGACAUCACAACCCCCACCCCAGGCCAGCCACCCCUCUGCCCACUUUCAGAGCCCCCCGACACCCUUCCUGCCCUUCGCCUCUACUCUGCCUUUGCCCCCAGCGCCCCCGGGCCCCUCAGCACCUGAUGAAGAGGACGAAGAAGAUUACGACUCCUAGCGCCUUCUGCCCCCCAGACCAUAGCCCCUUUUAGUUGGUUUUAGUUGCUCUGGGGGGAGGAGAGAAGGUAGAGCUGUUCUUAAAUUUAUUAAAAAAAAAAAUAAAAGGG
rnacentral:lncRNA from 1 species